ACAUAUAUUUCCAAUGACUCCCUUUAUUAAAAUCUCUUAAAAAUUCAUUAUUGAGAAAUGGAAUUUCAGAGAAUAAAAAAAUACUGAGACAAAGAGGUAUGAUUUAUAAUGUUUCUAAAUAAUAAAAUUAUAUCAAAAAAGGCUAAUUAAUAAAGCCUAUCAAAGUUUAUUAGAUAGUCAUCCCCAGUUUUUAAUGGUUCUGUCAGACACAAAGUUUCCUUUUGGGCUAGUUGUUCCAGGUGGAAGCAUUGCUAAAUACACUGGUGUAUCUGCUCCU
rnacentral:lncRNA from 1 species